rnacentral:misc_RNA from 1 species
UGGCCUUGACAUGUAUCUAGUAGAAGGGUGAAAGCCUGACGAGGUAGCAAUACCAGGAUACACAGGUGCUGCAUGGCUGUCGUCAGCUCGUGUCGUGAGAUGUUGGGUUAAGUCCCGCAACGAGCGCAACCCCCAUGUCCUGUUGCCACCCGAACGAGAGUUUGGAGCACUCUGGACAGACUGCCUCGCUCAAACGAGGAGGAAGGUGGGGAUGACGUCUUGGAAGCAAGCU